rnacentral:ncRNA from 1 species
AGCGAAACAGUUUAGAUACUGUUAGAAUUAUGCCCACGAAACGCAGAAACGCUCCUGCAAGAACGCAGGAGCGAGGAGAACCGCGCCAUUGACGGCGCGGUUCGACGGUUUCUUCAAACAUAGAAACCCUAAAAAGCAUAAUUCAUACAGUGUAUUAACU